rnacentral:ncRNA from 1 species
CAGAUAGAGGUUGCGGGUUUCAUCAGUAUCCUGCCGGAUAUAUUCAGGUAUAGAGGAAGACCGGAGAAAGGGAAAUCUGCCGAAAGGGAGCAGUACCUGAACCUGAUUCCUUGGCUGCAUACCGAACAGAAAUGCAGCUGUCAUCGUGCAGAUGGAGCGCUAUCGUA